rnacentral:rRNA from 1 species
UAAAACCAGCACCUCAAGUGGUCAGGAUGAUUAUUGGGCCUAAAGCAUCCGUAGCCGGCUCAGUAAGUUUUCGGUUAAAUCUGUACGCUCAACGUACAGGCUGCCGGGAAUACUGCAGAGCUAGGGAGUGGGAGAGGUAGACGGUACUCGGGAGGAAGUGGUAAAAUGCUUUGAUCUUUCGAUGACCACCUGUGGCGAAGGCGGUCUACCAGAACACGUCCGACGGUGAGGGAUGAAAGCUGGGGGAGCAAACCGGAUUAGAUACCCGGGUAGUCCCAGCUGUAAACUAUGCAAACUCAGUGAUGCAUUGGCUUGUGGCCAAUGCAGUGUUGCAGGGAAGCCGUUAAGUUUGCCGCCUGGGAAGUACGUACGCAAGUAUG